AUGAUAACUUCGGUAUCUUUGCUUCGCAAUAUUGUGAGUCAUUUGAAAUGUUUGGACAUUUUACCUAUUGAAGAUAGAAAAAGCUGUGAUAUUGGACAACUUUUCUAAAUUGAUUGAAGAAUCUGAAACAAUGUUUGCCGAUUCCAACAAAAAAAGGUAGUGUUCAUUUCUGAACAAUUAAAAAAAUUCAAUAUCCCUCCAAAUCAAAGAAGAGAUUCUCCCGACUUUUUGGUCAUAUCACUAAUUUGGCAUAGCUCUAGUCCAUCUUUGUACAGCCAAAUGCUUACGUCUGAGGACAUCAUUUAACCUUCAUCAAGAUAUUUGUCCAAAAAAGAACAAAAAAAAACUAAUAUUUAUGGCUCUCGAAAUAGGAUUUCCAAAUUUCUAUCAUCUCAUCGAAUAAUACAAACUGGAAGAAACAAGUUAGCUGACAAAUUUAAUGAUAAAGCUUUGUUCCCAUCUUCAAUUGAAAAAACAAAUGUUCCACUUGCGGAUUCUAUAUUCCAUGAAAGUACUAUUGGAGCAUUGAAUUAUUACUCGUUAAAGAAUCCUGAAUGGUUAGACACCAAAAACUUCUGAACUUUAAUUAGAAAAUACUGGAAUAUUGUGAAUUGCAGGACACCAAGUGCUGGCACACGUAAACGUGAUUCUUCUAAGGAACCAUUAACUUUAAACCAUAAAAAUUGUGAGUUUAAAAAAAAAAAUGGGCUGGUUAACUCAGUGGAAAAUUGAAAGCAACGAUCACAAGAUGGGGUUAACAUUGGAAACAUUUGCAGCUCUUGAGCUCUCAACUAAGUCACUUAUUGGAAUAAAUUUAUAUUUAAUUCAAGAAUGUAGUUUUAAAUAUGUUCUUUUUUGGACCAUUCCAGAGUGAUUUUCUUGAAGCCAAGAUUUAGCUGGUAUAGGCAGUUAUCGGAUGCUAAUUACUUUGUUUAAUUAGGUUAGAUUUCUGAAGCUGAAAAAAAGAUACGAAUUCUAUCUCUUGCCCGAUUUAAUUAUUUUAAUAUGAAUCAAAUCAAGCAAAUGGCAAUGAUAAAGAUGUAUCAUUUGAAGCUCAAAAUUCGUAUUCCAAGGAUCUAGAUAGUAUCUUUAAUCUUAUUCAAGACUGCGAAGUCAAUAUAGAAGAAGAAGAUAAUUAUGAAGCUCUCAUUUUUUAUAUAUCUGGCUAUUUAUCUAGAUCUCUUUAAAAAAUUGAAAUGUGAAGGCUGAUGUUCGAUGCUAGUUUCUUCGAAGGAUGCUCCUACUAUAUUAGCUGAAAGUUCAACUAAUGAUGAGCUGAACAUUAGAAGAUCUAAUUUUCUUGAUUUGGUUAAUCGAGGCGGGCUAUACACUCCAUUAGAUCUUACUUUUACCAUGGGACAACAGGCUUGGAGAAUUUUUAAUCUGAUAUCAAUUUAAUAAUGAAGUAAAUUAUAUUCCUAUGGAAAAUAAUAAUCCUGGAUUUCUCUUUAGUGAAAUAUGUGUCGUUUUAGUCAAAGAUUCCAGUUUUUCUAGCUUACUAGCAAGAAAAUGUUCAAUAUUUUGGCCAAAAAUUAUACCAAACAAAUUAAUAACUGUAUUCAUAUUGCAAUGCGGCCAACAAAUUCCAAAGGAUCAAUGACUAAAAGAAAAUAUAAAAAAUUAUCGUCAGAAAGUGCUUAAAUAUAUCGUUAUAUUUAUCUUUUUUUGUUCUGGGUUACUUAUUUGUAUUAAAAAAUAUGAGGAAUACCAAUCUUUGCUGAAAUUUGUAUAUUUACUUUUUUUGAAACGUUAAACACAAUAUAUUUAGCCCCUCUUAUAUGUUAUUGUACACAUAAAAUACAUGUUGACUCAUAUGGGAAAAG
rnacentral:lncRNA from 1 species